GCUUUCAACAUCCCCGUUCCGGGGCGUGAGAUUCCGAAUCGAAACGGAGCCGCGCGGCUGGGACUGAAGGC
rnacentral:sRNA from 1 species